AUUGAACGCUGGCGGCACGCCUAACACAUGCAAGUCGAGCGGUAACAUGGUUAGUAGCAAUACUAACUGAUGACGAGCGGCGGACGGGUGAGGAAUACGUAGGAACCUACCAUUAAGCGGGGGAUAACUAAGGGAAACUUUAGCUAAUACCGCAUAAACUCGAGAGAGCAAAGCUGCCGCAAGGUGGCACUUAUUGAGGGGCCUGCGUCCGAUUAGGUAGUUGGUGAGGUAAGAGCUCACCAAGGCGAUGAUCGGUAACUGGUCUGAGAGGACGACCAGUCACACUGGGUCUGAGACACGGCCCAGACUCCUACGGGAGGCAGCAGUGGGGAAUCUUGGACAAUGGGGGCAACCCUGAUCCAGCGAUGCCGCGUGGGUGAAGAAGGCCUUCGGGUUGUAAAGCCCUUUAGGUUGGGACGAAGGUAUUAUGGGGAUAAUCCAUAGUACUUAACGGUACCGACAGAAUAAGCAUCGGCAAACUCUGUGCCAGCAGCCGCCGUAA
rnacentral:rRNA from 1 species